AAGUUUGAAUGAUGUUAUGGGAUAUGUUGGCAUGUUUGGUUGAGGUCCUGGGGGCCUUGGGUGAGUUUCGGGUGGUGAAUCGGACCAUUUCAUGUUGUGAAAAACUGCAGAAAACUAUUGUUGGAUGUUGUAGACAAUUGGCCUUCGCGUUCGCGAAGGGUUAGCAGAUCAGGCUGAAGAUUUGGCCUUCGCAUUCGUGAGGGAGGUCCCGCAUUUGCUAAGGACUGGUCCAUUGAGCAUCGCGUUCGCGAGAAGGGGAGCCGCAUUCGUGAAGGAUUGGAGUUUGGAAGCAUCGCGUUCGCGAGAGGUCAGACGCGUUCGCGAAGGAGGAAAUUUUGGUCAACGUCAAUUUGUGCUUCGCGAACACGAGGAUUUGACCGCGUUUGCGAAGAAGGAUUGAAUGCCUGGGUAGAAUGUUCGAAUAGCCAUUUGUCCGCGAUUUUGGGGCUAACUUCCACCAUUUUUGAGCGAUUUUGGAGCUUUUUGAAGAGGAUUGAAGAGGGAUUCAAGGGGAACACUUGGAGGUAAGAUCUAUGGACUUAAUACUCGAUUGUAAUGUGAAUUCUACCUAAAUAAUCAUGGAAUUUAAGCAUAAUAUUGAAGAACUAGGGCUUGUAAUUGGAGACCUAAAAUUUGGGAUUUUAGGGGUCGUUUGUGGUUGGAUUUUGAUGUUUUUGAUAUGAAUGAACUCGGGGAGUGAUAAGGAGUCUAUUGAUGUAAAUUUUAUCGGAAUCCGAGACAUGAGCCAGGGGGUCGGGUUUGGCCAUUUUCAAGAUUUGCGUUGUAAUUUAAUUUCUUUCAAGUGGGCUUUGUUCCUUUGGCAUAUUUUGAUGAUUUUGCACUGAUUUUGGUUAGAUUUGGAGCAUCCGGAGGCAGAUUUGAGGGGCAAAGGCAUCGCUAGCUAGAGAUUUGGGUCGGGUAGAGGUGAGUAAUGAUUAUAAAUGUUGUUCUGAGGGUAUAAAACUUCGGAUUGCACAUCAUUGUGCUAUAUUGAGGUGACACACGCUAGGUGAUGAGCGUGGGUUCGUGCACCAUUGGGGAUUGUUACUUAGUCCAUCCUGAAUGACUGUUUUACCGCGUAUUUGAUUGAAAACUAUUUGCUAUCAUCAUGUUUUGGGUUGUAUGCCAUAUUUGGGCCUUGUGCCAAUUAUUUGGACCCUUAGGGAAUUUUUACUAAUAUUUCCUCACUGUUCUGACUUUAUACUUGUACUCAGUCAUUCUAUAUUUUAAUGUUUUCAUAACUCAACCACGUUUAUUCUGUUUAAACACAUUAAAUGAUAUUCUAAAAUAAUAAUUUGGGCUGAGCAUCAUGUUUUACUGUUGCCCGAGUGGCUUAUGAGAUUCUGACUGAGUAAGGCCACUCGGGCAACAGUAAAACAUGAUGCUCAGCCUAAAUUAUCAAUUUAGAAUAUCAUUUAAUGUGUUUAAACAGAGUAAACAUGGUUGAGUUAUGAAAAUAGUAAAAUAUAGAAUGACUGAGUACAAGUAUAAAGUUAGAACAGUGAGGAAAUAUCAGUAAAAAUCCCCUAAGGGUCUAAAAUAGUCGCCACGAGGCCCAAACAUAGCAUUUAGCCCAAAACACGAUAAUAACAAAUAGUUUUCAAUCAAAUACGCAGCUAAACAGUCAUACGGGACAGACUAAGUCACAAUUCCCAACGGUGCACAACGCCACGCUUGUCAUCUAGCGUGUGCGCCACCUCAAAGUAGCACAACGAUGUGAAAUUCGGGGUUUCAAACCCUCAGGACAACAUUUACAAUCAUUACAUACCUCUAUCCGGUCCAAACUCUAGCCCACGAUACCUUUGCCCCUCGAAUCGGCCUCCAGUUGCAUCCAAAUCUAACCAAAAUCAGAUUUAUACCAUCAAAAUGUGCUAAGGGAACAAAGCCCACUCGAAAAUAUUCAAUUUAUACCAAAAAUCCCGAAAUUAGCCAAACCCGACCCCCGGGACCACGUCUCGAAAUACGAUAAAAAUCACAUCAAUAGAAUCCUUAUACUCUCACGAGUCUACCCAUAACAAAUUCCUCAAAAUUCGACAUCAAUUGCCCAUUCAAACCUCCAAAAGAAUUCCCAAACUUUUCCUCUAUUUCCCCCCAAUUUCUACUCUAAUUUCUCAAAUUAAAUGAUGAAAUUUAAGACUAAACAUGAAAUUAAACCAAAUAUGAGUGAAGAAUACUUACCCCAAUUGCUCCACUAAAAAUCUCCUCAAGUUUCACCUCCUCCCGAGCUCUCCAAUGGUUUUUUGUGAUUUUGGACUUAAACCCUCAUUUUUAAAAUAUAAUCUGACUGCCCAGGUUUAACCCUUCGCGAACACGGCCACACACUCGCGUCCGCGUAGCAUAAUUAGAUACUGACCAAAGAUCCUCUUACGCGGACACGAGGACCAUCUCGCGAACGCGAUGCACCAAUGAACGGACCUUCGCGAUCGCGGCUCCCACUUCGUGAACGCGGAGCACAAAUCCUCCCUUGCCUCCAGUUCCCCUUCGCGAACACGUAUCUCCCCUCGCAAAAGCAUAGAACGAAAAUCAUCACCACACAAAAUACCCUUCGCGAAUGUGAUGCACCUCCGCAAACGCGAUGAACAAAGAUGUCUACAACAAAAACCAGCAAAACGGCCAAGUCCAAAGUCCAAAAAUUGAUUUGUUUACCACCCGAAACUCACCCGAGGCCCUCGGGACCUCAACCAAACAUGCCAACAUAUCCCAUAUCGUCAUUCAAACUUGUUCCAACCUUUGGAAUGCUCAAAACAACAUCAAAACAUCAAAUCAUCAUCGGAUCCAAGCCUAAGAAUCCCAAAAAAUUUUGAAUUUCGAAUUCGAUCAAAAAGUCUAUCAAACCUCGUCC
rnacentral:lncRNA from 1 species